GUGGGGAAUAUUGGACAAUGGGCGAAAGCCUGAUCCAGCCAUGCCGCGUGUGUGAAGAAGGUCUUCGGAUUGUAAAGCACUUUAAGUUGGGAGGAAGGGCAGUAAGUUAAUACCUUGCUGUUUUGACGUUACCGACAGAAUAAGCACCGGCUAACUUCGUGCCAGCAGCCGCGGUAAUACGAAGGGUGCAAGCGUUAAUCGGAAUUACUGGGCGUAAAGCGCGCGUAGGUGGUUUUGUAAGUUGGAGGUGAAAUCCCCGGGCUCAACCUGGGAAGUGCAUCCAAAACUGCAUGACUAGAGUACGGUAGAGGGUAGUGGAAUUUCCUGUGUAGCGGUGAAAUGCGUAGAUAUAGGAAGGAACACCAGUGGCGAAGGCGACUACCUGGACUGAUACUGACACUGAGGUGCGAAAGCGUGGGGAGCAAACAGGAUUAGAAACCCCUGUAGUCC
rnacentral:rRNA from 1 species